AUUGAACGCUGGCGGCAGGCCUAACACAUGCAAGUCGAGCGGAUGACGGGAGCUUGCUCCUUGAUUCAGCGGCGGACGGGUGAGUAAUACCUAGGAAUCUGCCUGAUAGUGGGGGACAACGUUUCGAAAGGAACGCUAAUACCGCAUACGUCCUACGGGAGAAAGCAGGGGACCUUCGGGCCUUGCGCUAUCAGAUGAGCCUAGGUCGGAUUAGCUAGUUGGUGAGGUAAUGGCUCACCAAGGCGACGAUCCGUAGCUGGUUUGAGAGGACGACCAGCCACACUGGGACUGAGACACGGCCCAGACUCCUACGGGAGGCAGCAGUGGGGAAUUUUGGACAAUGGGGGAAACCCUGAUCCAGCCAUUCCGCGUGUGCGAUGAAGGCCUUCGGGUGUAAAGCACUUUUGGCAGGAAAGAAUACGCAUCAAUUAAUAACUUGGUGUUGGGAUUGACGGGUAACCUGGCAGAAUAAGCACCGGCUAACUACGUGCCAGCAG
rnacentral:rRNA from 1 species